CGGCCGCCCUUGCUCUUCCUCCCUGACGCGCUGACCGCCAGCUUGGGCCACCGCUCCGCCGGCUGACGACGCCUCCACGAGCACCACCUCCCGGGCCCCGCGGCCAGCGAGCCGGCCUCGCCGGCGGCGGCGAGCGGCGGCGGGGUGCGCCUCGCCGGGAGGCAGGAGGACCCACCGCUGUUUGGGGUGAGGGCCCACAUGUCGGUGGCCGCGAG
rnacentral:misc_RNA from 1 species